UACGUAGGUGGCAAGCGUUAUCCGGAUUUAUUGGGCGUAAAGGGAACGCAGGCGGUCUUUUAAGUCUGAUGUGAAACCUUCGGCUUAACCGGAGUAGUGCAUUGGAAACUGGGAGACUUGAGUGCAGAAGAGGAGAGUGGAACUCCAUGUGUAGCGGUGAAAUGCGUAGAUAUAUGGAAGAACACCAGUGGCGAAAGCGGCUCUCUGGUCUGUAAUCUG
rnacentral:rRNA from 1 species